AAGAACCACAGGGAUUGCCUCAGUAACGGCGAGUGAAGCGGCAACAGCUCAAAUUUGAAAUCUGGCCUUUACGGUCCGAGUUGUAAUUUGUAGAGGAUGUUUUGGGUACCGCCGCGGGUUAAUUUUCUUGGAACAGAAAGCCAAAGAGGGUGAGAGUCCCGUCUUGGCCUGCGGUAGGGCUCGUGUAAAACUCCUUCGACGAGUCGACUAGUUUGGGAAUGCUGGUCAAAAUGGGUGGUAAAUGUCAUCUAAAGCUAAAUAUUGGCCAGAGACCGAUAGCGCACAAGUAGAGUGAUCGAAAGAUGAAAAGCACUUUGAAAAGAGAGUUAAACAGUAUGUGAAAUUGUUGAAAGGGAAGCGCAGGCAACCAGACUCGUGCGCGGGGUUCCCCCUUGCUUCUGCUUGGGUUACUUCCCCGUGUCCGGGCCAUCAUCAGUUUUGGGGGCCGGUCAAAGGCUCUGGGAAUGUAUCCUCGCCUUCGGGAGAGGACUUAUAGCCCAGGGUGUCAUGCGGCCACCCGGGACUGAGGAACGCGCUUCGGCGAGGAUGAUGGCGUAAUGGUUGUCUGCGACCCGUCUUGAAACACGGACCAAGGAGUCUAACAUCUAUGCGAGUGUUCGGGUGUCAAACCCUUGCGCGGAAUGAAAGUGAACGGAGGUAGGAAGGCUUAAGCCUGCACUAUCGACCGAUCCUGAUGUCUUCGGAUGGAUUUGAGUAAGAGCAUAGCUGUUGGGACCCGAAAGAUGGUGAACUAUGCGUGAAUAGGGUGAAGCCAGAGGAAACUCUGGUGGAGGCUCGCAGCGGUUCUGACGUGCAAAUCGAUCGUCAAAUUUGCGUAUAGGGGCGAAAGACUAAUCGAACCAUCUGGUAGCUGGUUCCUGCCGAAGUUUCCCUCAGGAUAGCAGUAACGUUUUCAGUUUUAUGAGGUAAAGCGAAUGAUUAGAGGCCUUGGGGUUGAAACAACCUUAACCUAUUCUCAAACUUUAAAUAUGUAAGAAGUCCUUGUUACUUAAUUGAACGUGGACAUUUGAAUGUAUCGUUACUAGUGGGCCAUUUUUGGUAAGCAGAACUGGCGAUGCGGGAUGAACCGAACGCGAGGUUAAGGUGCCGGAAUGCACGCUCAUCAGACACCACAAAAGGUGUCAAUGCAUCUAGACAGCCGGACGGUGGCCAUGGAAGUCGGAAUCCGCUUAGGAGUGUGUAACAACUCACCGGCCGAAUGCAUUGGCCCUGAAAAUGGAUGGCGCUUAAGCGUGCUACCCAUACCUCGCCGUUAGAGUUGACAUGAUGCUCUAACGAGUAGGCAGGCGUGGAGGUCCCGUGACGAAGCCUUGG
rnacentral:rRNA from 1 species